UAGAAGCAGAAAGAAGCCAGACCUAAGGCCC
rnacentral:piRNA from 1 species